UGGGGUAUCGCCAAGCGGUAAGGCACCAGGUUUUGAUCCUGGGGAUUCUGAUUCCGGCAUUCCCAGGUUCGAAUCCUGGUACCCCAGCCA
rnacentral:tRNA from 1 species